UACAGAGGGGCAAGCGUUGUUCGGAAUUACUGGGCGUAAAGGGUCUGUAGGUGGCUUGCUAAGUCAGACGUGAAAUCCCUCAGCUUAACUGGGGAACUGCGUCUGAUACUGGCGAGCUUGAGUGCAGGAGAGGAACGCGGAAUUCCAGGUGUAGCGGUGAAAUGCGUAGAUAUCUGGAGGAACACCGGUGGCGAAGGCGGCGUUCUGGACUGCAACUGACACUGAGAGACGAAAGCCAGGGGAGCAAACGGG
rnacentral:rRNA from 1 species